rnacentral:rRNA from 1 species
AUUGAACGCUGGCGGCAGGCCUAACACAUGCAAGUCGAGCGGUAGCACAGAGAGCUUGCUCUCGGGUGACGAGAGGCGGACGGGUGAGUAACACGUAUCCAAUCUACCCUUAGGUUGGGGAUAACUGGUCGAAAGACUAGCUAAUACCGAAUAUCAAUACUCCUAUCGCAUGAGAAAGUAUUGAAAGAUCCUUUUGGAUCGCCUUUGGAUGAGGGUGCGGCAUAUCAGAUAGUUGGUGAGGUAACGGCUCACCAAGUCAAUGACGUGUAGCUGUACUGAGAGGUAAAACAGCCACAAUGGGACUGAGACACGGCCCAUACUCCUACGGGAGGCAGCAGUAGGGAAUUUUUCACAAUGGGCGAAAGCCUGAUGGAGCAAUGCCGCGUGAAUGAUGAAGGUCUUACAGAUUGUAAAAUUCUUUUAUUUGGGAAGAACGACCACGAUAGGAAAUGAUCGUGGAAUGACUGUACCAUUUGAAUAAGUAUCGGCUAACUAUGUGCCAGCCGCCGCGGUAACAC